UACGUAGGGAGCAAGCGUUGUCCGGAAUCAUUGGGCGUAAAGCGCGCGUAGGUGGCCCGGUAAGUCCGCUCUGAAAGUCACAGGCUCAACCUGUGAAAGCGGGUGGAUACUGCCGGGCUAGAGUCCGGAAGAGGCGAGUGGAAUUCCUGGUGUAGCGGUGAAAUGCGCAGAUAUCAGGAGGAACACCGAUGGCGAAGGCAGGUCACUGGGCCGCAACUGACGCUGAGGAGCGAAAGCAUGGGGAGCGAACAGG
rnacentral:rRNA from 1 species